AUGCAAGUCGAGCGGACAGAUGGGAGCUUGCUCCCUGAUGUUAGCGGCGGACGGGUGAGUAACACGUGGGUAACCUGCCUGUAAGACUGGGAUAACUCCGGGAAACCGGGGCUAAUACCGGAUGCUUGAUUGAACCGCAUGGUUCAAUUAUAAAAGGUGGCUUUUAGCUACCACUUACAGAUGGACCCGCGGCGCAUUAGCUAGUUGGUGAGGUAACGGCUCACCAAGGCAACGAUGCGUAGCCGACCUGAGAGGGUGAUCGGCCACACUGGGACUGAGACACGGCCCAGACUCCUACGGGAGGCAGCAGUAGGGAAUCUUCCGCAAUGGACGAAAGUCUGACGGAGCAACGCCGCGUGAGUGAUGAAGGUUUUCGGAUCGUAAAACUCUGUUGUUAGGGAAGAACAAGUACCGUUCGAAUAGGGCGGUACCUUGACGGUACCUAACCAGAAAGCCACGGCUAACUACGUGCCAGCAGCCGCGGUAAUACGUAGGUGGCAAGCGUUGUCCGGAAUUAUUGGGCGUAAAGCGCGCGCAGGCGGUUUCUUAAGUCUGAUGUGAAAGCCCCCGGCUCAACCGGGGAGGGUCAUUGGAAACUGGGGAACUUGAGUGCAGAAGAGGAGAGUGGAAUUCCACGUGUAGCGGUGAAAUGCGUAGAGAUGUGGAGGAACACCAGUGGCGAAGGCGACUCUCUGGUCUGUAACUGACGCUGAGGCG
rnacentral:rRNA from 1 species